rnacentral:rRNA from 1 species
GACGACGAUCCUACGGGAGGCAGCAGUGGGGAAUAUUGCACAAUGGGCGCAAGCCUGAUGCAGCCAUGCCGCGUGUAUGAAGAAGGCCUUCGGGUUGUAAAGUACUUUCAGCAGUGAGGAAGGUGGAUAUGUUAAUAGCAUAUUCAUUUGACGUUAGCUGCAGAAGAAGCACCGGCUAACUCCGUGCCAGCAGCCGCGGUAAUACGGAGGGUGCGAGCGUUAAUCGGAAUUACUGGGCGUAAAGCGCAUGCAGGUGGUUUGUUAAGUCAGAUGUGAAAGCCCGGGGCUCAACCUCGGAAUUGCAUUUGAAACUGGCAAACUAGAGUACUGUAGAGGGGGUAGAAUUUCAGGUGUAGCGGUGAAAUGCGUAGAGAUCUGAAGGAAUACCGGUGGCGAAGGCGGCCCCCCUGGACAGAUACUGACACUCAGAUGCGAAAGCGUGGGGAGCAAACAGGAUUAGAUACCCUGGUAG